rnacentral:tRNA from 1 species
GGCGCAGUAGCUCAGUGGUAGAGUGCGUGCCUAACAUUCAUGAGGUCCUGGAUUCAACUCCAGUACCUCCA